UAUGAAAGGGUAAACGAGGAAGAUGCUGUGUCUAAAAACUUAGUUUAAACUAACUUAAAGGUGAAGAGGCCUUUAUAAGAAAGAAGGACGACAAGACCCUAUGAAGCUUUAUCUUAUUAGGGAUUUGAAAGAUCCUUAUACGAUUUUGAUGGGAGAUCAGUAAAAAUAAGUCUUUUACCAUUAUUUUUAUCUUACAAGUGUUUCCUAAUUUUAUAUGUGUGACUAGCCACUCUAGGGAUAACAGCGCUAUUUCUCCCGAAAGAUGAUAUUGGAGGAGAAAAUUGCCACCUCGACGUUGGC
rnacentral:rRNA from 1 species